UUCUAUUUGCGAAGAGGGUCUUUGCAGUCUUGUGAGUUGAACAACCUGCAGAUGACAGAACUCAGGCAAUUCAAAUAACAUCACACAAAGGUAACCCUUGAAUAUAAAUUUCUAUGUUAUACUUCUUCGGCUUUUGCAAAAGAGUCAUUUCAGUUGUUCACCGCCUUGAAUCAAUUCCUGUCUAACAUUGAGCUGUGACACAUGUAUUGGUUCAUUUUUUUACUUAGUUGUGGAGACCAAGAAAUUACAACACAAGAUCUCAUUCAUGCUGUGAAGAAAAGGCUCAGCGGACGGAGCAGUCAGCUGUUUCCUUAUUCUCAACUCCUAAGAAAAAUACAACAAAAUAAAAUGUAAAGGUUCCAGCGGCAUAUCUUUAUUUUCUUGCUUAGUUUUCCCAACAAAUAACAUAGCAUUUGAGCACUAGUAUCUCACCU
rnacentral:lncRNA from 1 species